rnacentral:rRNA from 1 species
AGAGCAUACGGUGGAUGCCUUGGCGAUAUCUGCCGACGAAGGACGUGACAAGCUGCGAAAAGCUGCGGAGAGAUGCAAAUAAUCGUUGACCCGCAGACAUCCGAAUGGAGAAAUCCGGCUGUGAUGAUGCACAGCCAUCCAUGCCCAAGAGCAUGAGAAGGGAACCGGGCGAACUGAAACAUCUAAGUAACCCGAGGAAAAGAAAUCAAACGAGAUACCCCAAGUAGCGGCGAGCGAACAGGGAAGAAGCCCAAACCGGUGAAGGAAACUUUACCGGGGUUGAGGACCAUCAGACCCGCGAAGAACUUUAGCCGAAACUGUUGGGAAACAGGGCCAAAGACAGUGAAAGCCUGGUAGGCGAAAAAGAGAAACGCGGAGAUGGCACCAGAGUACCGCGGGACACGAGAAAUCCCGUGGGAAGCAGGGGGGACCACCCUCCAAGGCAAAACACAGAUAUCGACCGAUAGCGCAUAGUACCAUGAGGGAAAGGUGAAAAGCACCCCGGGAGGGGAAUGAAAGAGAACCUGAAACCGUAUGUUUACAAGCAGUCGGAGACCGCUUAAUAAUAAGGUCGACGGCGUGCCUAUUGAAGAAUGAACCGGCGAGUUACGAAGCCUGGCAAGGUUAAGCAGGAAAUGCGGAGCCGAAGCGAAAGCGAGUCUUAAGAGGGCGCAAGUCAGGAGGCGUAGACCCGAAACCACAGUGAUCUACCCAUGUCCAGGUUGAAACACAGGUAAAAAUGUGUGGAGGACCGAACCUAUAUCCGUUGAAAAGGGUUAGGAUGAGGUGUGGGUAGGGGUGAAAUUCCAAUCGAACGUGGAGAUAGCUGGUUCUCCCCGAAAUAGCUUUAGGGCUAGCCUCAGGGAAAAGAUUGCAGGCGGUAGAGCACUGAUCAGGAGAGGGACCUACCCGGUUACCAAACCCAGUCAAACUCCGAAUGGCUGCAAUCAUACCUGGGAGUCAGACUGCGACUAAUAAGGGCCGUAGUCAAAAGGGAAACAGCCCAGACCAUCAGCUAAGGUCCCCAAUGCCGUGCUAAGUGGCGAAGGAUGUGGCAUUUCAUAAACAACCAGGAUGUUGGCUCAGAAGCAGCCACCAUUUAAAGAGUGCGUAAUAGCUCACUGGUCGAGAGACGCUGCGCCGAAAAUGUCCGGGGCUCAAGCACGGAACCGAAGCUAUGGCAUGAUAGCAAUAUCAUGGGUAGGGGAGCGUUCUUAUAAGGAAGAAGCAUGACCGGAAGGACAUGUGGACAAAUAAGAAGUGAGAAUGCCGGUAUGAGUAUCGAAAAGAAAGGUGAGAAUCCUUUCCACCGAAAGCCCGAGGGUUCCUGAGCAACGAUCGUCGACUCAGGGUAAGUCGGGACCUAAGCCGAGGCGAGAAGCGUAGGCGAUGGACAACAGGUUGAAAUUCCUGUACCGGAUCAAGUCGAUCGAGCGAAGGAGCGACGCAGGAGGGCACAUGAUCGCGCGGCUGGAAGAGCGCGUCCAAGUGCGUAUGUUGCUGCAGAGGAAAACCCCUGCAGCUAAAAGCAGAGACAUGAAGGGGAGUUAAAGGAAACUUUGACGAACUCAUGGAUCCCACACUGCCAAGAAAAACUUCUAGCGAGACAAGAUCCGCCCGUACCGUAAACCGACACAGGUAGGCGGGGAGAGAAUCCUAAGGUGCGCGGGAAAACCCUCGUUAAGGAACUCGGCAAAUUGCAUCCGUAACCUAGGGAGAAGGAUGGCCCCCGGUCAGUGAAGAGCAGAAACGCUCAGAGCUAAAAGGGGCGGCAGAAAAGAGGCCCAAGCAACUGUUUACCAAAAACACAGGUGCCUGCGAAAGCGAAAGCUGAAGUAUAGGUGCUGACGCCUGCCCGGUGCCGGAAGGUUAAGGAGAGAAGUUAGCGAAAGCGAAGCAUCGAACUGAAGCCCCGGUGAACGGCGGCCGUAACUAUAACGGUCCUAAGGUAGCGAAAUUCCUUGUCGGGUAAGUUCCGACCCGCAUGAAAGGCGUAAUGAUUUGGGCACUGUCUCAACGAGGGGCCCGGUGAAAUUGAAAUACCUGUGAAGAUGCAGGUUACCCGCGACUGGACAGAAAGACCCCAUGGAGCUUCACUGCAGCUUGAGAUUGAAUCCCGGUGACAGAUGCACAGGAUAGGUGGGAGGCGCCGAAGCAUUGCCCUAGGGCGGUGCGGAGCCGAUGUUGGGAUACCACCCUUCUGUUGCUGAGAUUCUAACGCGAGGAGUAACGACCCUGCGGACCCUCUCAGGCAGGCGGUUUGACUGGGGCGGUCGCCUCCGAAAGAGUAACGGAGGCG